GCUGUAGAAGAAAGAAAGAUGGAAUCAAUGGAUCUUUAGGUCAUGUUUGGUUGGAAGGUUUAUGAAUGGAUUCCAACCCAAUUUGGUGGGCCCACCACCAAACAUUAGUUUGGUUGACUGUAAUGUUAUUACAGCCUGAAUUCAUUCACGUUCUAUUACAAGAAAAGGAUGAAUAGUCAUUCCCUUCCUUCAUCACUGAAUUCUUGUACAGUCUCGUGGAGUAAAUUUUUUUUCCCAUUUUCAAUUUUUGCCCUCACCUUUACCCGGAGAGAAUGAAGAAGCUGUAAUGGGAACUAUCAUCUUCUCAUUCGAUCUUACUGGUAACUUUCUUUCCUUUCCAUCUCUACGUUUCCCUUUUUUCUGUCCUUUGAUUGUGGAGGAGACCUAGGUCAAUCUAUUGAAGUUGUUUCAUCAUUCUCAAACAAAUGCGUUAGAAACUUCUAAGAAGAAGAAUAUCUUUGACUAAAAUGUCGGAUACAUCUAUUUGGGUUAUCGGCGAAAAUGGGUCUAUCUAGAAAAGGUUUUGGAAUGCAGUUCAAUAGGUGAUAGCACCAUAUGACUUGCAGAUAUUAACAUGUUGUGCAGUUUAUGUUUUGAUAGUCAACCAAACAAUUUUUGCUAGUUUUGAUGAAGUAAAUCUAUAUCAGGUAACCACAAGCACUAUUGCUUUCAAAUCUACAUUAGAUGAAAGAUGAUGAACUAUAUAAGAUUCUACAGUCCAACAUUUGGUUACUUAUAAAUUCAAAAAAUCAAGUAUUGUUAUAUAAGUAAAGAAACACAAUAGAAUCAAACACCCUACUCGAUGUUUGGUUGCUCCAUUUAAUUUUGUUUUACAAGUUGGGUGGGUUAACGAUUGCAAAUCGGUGAAAAACACUUUUGUUUACAGCAAGUUUGGAUGGAGAAGUGUUAGGAGAGUGUAAAGCAAAAAGAAGCAAAAGGUUUGCUCUAACAUAUUUGGAGGUGAAGAUUCCACUUUGAUUAUUUCUGCUUGUGAUCUCCUUCUUAGCCUACCAAAUGAAAUCAAUCCAAUGAUUAUUUUAAUUCAAGUUAUAGUUGUAAUUGAACAAUGAGCACUAACUUGCUAGUUAAACUAUACUCUCCUCUCCUCUCUAAAUAAGGCAAAAUUGCCGCAAGUUUUUCAUAACCCCAUUCUUAACUUUUUGAAUUCAUGGCCACAAUAAUAUAGCAUCUUGCACAAGAAACUUACUUAGAUUGUGAUCACAAGGGUUCCUUGCUGCUAUAAUUGUCUGAUUUUUCAUCUUUUUUUCCGUUUCAAAUGCAACUCAGUGCUUGGAUGGAGUUGAAGCAUGCAUUCAAUCAAAUUACAAAUAAAAAAGCAAAAUAGAGUUUAGUGAUUCAGAUAGAGUCAGGAACUGUUUCAUAUGAUGGACUGUAAGUAUGUUUAUUGACCAUUAAGAAUUUUGUUUCCGAGAAUAAUACAUAAUUUGAGGGCAUGGUCAAAUUUCACUUCAAUAGAAACAUAAUGUUUCUCUACUUAGAGUUUAUUUUUUUGACCUUGACGCAGGAAAGUUUAUUUCUGUACAAAGACUGGGUUGUUUUUAAAGUUCAGUGAGGUUGAGCCUCCAAGGUAGCGCAUUUUCUCUAUCAAUUUCUUUAUGCAAGCAGAGACCUUCAUUCAUUGCUACAUUGAUUCCUCAAGUCUCAUACAAUAUUCAUAAAUAAGAUUUAGAUUACAGUAGGAGAGUCCAAUAUCUCGUUGAGCUUAUGAGUUGUAAACUGAAUUAUGGUUUUGUAUGGUUCAGUUUUUCGGUUUAACUUUGGACACGUAAUUAGUUUUACCCCCCGGAAAACCAAGAAAAUUUAAAAUUUAUAUAUGGGAAGUGGAAGUGGAACUGAACUGUUUGUGUUUAUUUGAUGAAGUUGCCAGUUUAUAAUAUUUUGUCUUUCUCGUGGACAACCUUUUUUUUUCAGUUUCAUUUAAAAACUGAGAUUAGGUGUUUUUCUAAAGCUUUAAUUGGAUUGGAUUUUGAGGGAUCUUGCUCCUUUCCACUCAUGUGCACGACCCAUUUUGUAAUAGCCCAUUUUCAGUGAAAUCAGAACAGUGAUUUCGAGACCACAAAUCUGAGCUAGAAAGAAAAUUUAUUUUAAUAUUAUUGCAUGGUCCACAUUAUGAUAGAAAUGUUAUAUGAAAAUUCUAAUAAGAAAAUUUUACCGAUUAUGUGUUUAAUUAGGAAAAGGACCAAAUUGCAUAAAAUGCAAAUGUUGGAUUCUAGUAGCUAGAAGGAUCAAAUAGUUAUGGUAUUUAAAACUUGAGGUCUUUAUAUGGUAAUUAGACCAUUAAAGAAAAGUUAGUAGAUAUUUUUGAUGAUUCAUCCAUAGAAAUUUAGAAAAGGGAAAGGAUUAAAUUGGAAAUGAGAAAAAUUAAUGGAUGAUUAAUAAUUAAUAAGAAAUAAAAAUCAUUUUAUAUUAUCUUCUUCCCCCAAACAUUCCAUGAAAACCCUAGGAAAGAGAAAACAAGAUUUCUUGGCUUAAUUGGGUAAGUACUCAAGCCCAUUUUUUAGUCAUUUUUAUAUUUUUAAAACCGGAAUAGUCUAAUCUAUCUAUUUGGGGGAUUGAUUUGAAAAGUUAUCAAAGUAUAAAAAUUUUUCCAUGAAUGAAUAUGUUAAUAAUUUGAAUUUUUUACAAAGUGAAUUUUGAUGAAAACAUGAUUUAGGGACUAAAUUGAAAAGUUAUAAAAGUUAUAGAAAAAUUUUGAAUUUUGUGAAAUACUUGUGCUGUUAAGGUUAUACUAAAAUUUUGGUUAGGCUUGGAAUAAGGAUUAAAUUGCAUGAAGUUCAUUUUCCGAGCCUAGAGAUGAAAUUGAAAUUUAUGAAAAGUUUAGGGCCAAAAUGGUAAUUUUACCUAGAGUGUAAAUUGAAUAUAAUUAAAUAUGAAUUGUACUAAAUUGAUGAUUAAAUUCAUUUAUAUAGAUCCGGAUAACUCAAAUUCGAAGCUAGAUUGAGGAAAAGAAAAAGUUUCAGAUUAGUAUAUUUUUUUAUACGAACUAUUAUCGAGGUAAGUUCGUGUAACUUAAUUAUACAUGUUAAUAUGGUUCAAUUGAAUAUUGUAUUUGAUUUGAAUGUGGUAUAUGUUUAUGUGAUUUAUAUGAAUGUUAUAAUUACAUGAAAUGAUCACAUGAUUGGAAAUGUGUUUAAAAUGUUAAGUUCUGUUGGAAUAAUGAAAAUUGAUGGAUACGUAUGGUUUCCUGUAUGUGAAUGUGAUUCUGUAUAUGUUGCAGACAGGAUUUAGCUUGGACGAGUAAUCCUGAUAUAGCUCUCUCGAGCAUCCUAAUGUAUAGUUCCUGCGAGCAUCUUGAUCGAUAGUGAUUUAGCAUGUGUUGCGCACUAUCGCAGCUCUUUGUGAGCGUUCUGAUAUAAGCUCUUAUGAGUUUCCUGACAUGGCUCACUUGAACUCCCUGUUACCUUAUCCGGUGCUCCUUGAUAUUAACUCUUCGGAGUUAUCUAUUCAAAGCUCUAUGAGCUCUCUGAAUAAAACUCUUAUGAGUUUCCUGUGUAGCCCAGAUAAGUGUCCUUUUACAUGGCUCAACUGAGCAUCCUGAUAUGUGGUUCAAGAGUGUGCUUCUUGAAUAAUUUCCUUAUUGGGUACCCCUAAUUAUAAAUUGAUGAAUUACAGAUUUGUACACCUUGAGUGUACUAUUCGAGUAUCCAUCGAUAUUUCAAUAAUUCAACGGAUAAAAUUCUCGACUUGAGAAAAAAAUGAUGAGUUAAAUAGAAAUAUGCCUUGAAUGCUUUUGAAUUAUUUGAUGAAGGGUUAUAUGAUGAGCUCAUCUAUGCUUAUUUGAUAUACAAAUGUAUUAUAUGACUAACUUGCUUGAUUGAGUAUAUGUGUUUAGGUAAACUUGUCAAAUUGAUGAAAAAUAUGUUAAUUGUAUGCUUAACAUUAAUAAAUGAAAUUGGUAAGUUUUAAUUCCUGUUAUACGAACAUACUAAGCAUUAAAUGCUAACUAGGUUUUUUUUUUCUCUGUUUUAUAGUGCUCGGAAGCUCACGAAGGUAGAAGAUCGGUUAGAGCAUCAUCACACUAUCCACUAGCUUGUUUUGGUAUAAAUAGUAAACUUAUUUUGGCAUAAUGGCAUGUAUAGGUAACUUGGCCAUUGUUGACAUAUAAAUGUGGUUUGUAAACUAGCAAUUGGAAUGACUACUAAUGAUUUGUUUUGGUAUAUAUUAUGACAAAUACCUAUAUUUUAAGUAUAUUGAGUAUGGUUGAUCAAGUUAUGCUUAAUAUAUAUAGUUAAACAAGG
rnacentral:lncRNA from 1 species